GUCGGUUUACUGUGAGUGUGGAAGCCUACUGUGUGCUAGGCAUUUGUGUCACUGUGAGCAUGGGAGCCUAUUGUGUGCUAGGCGUGCAGGCACCUUCAGGGAUACAACCCCUUCGACCAGGGCUGUGCCAGCAACUGGUAUUUAACAAUCUGUGCACCACGGGGCCCCAAGUACAUGGCUGAAGCUGUCCAGCUGCAGACAGCGGUGGGGCCUGACUGGACACCCAUGCCGAACCUGCACUCCCCUACGUCCCCCCAGGCCUGCCCUUGCCUCCAGCCCCAACCUCUGCGUCCCUACAAACCAGGGAAGGGGCCCCCAGGGAGUGGUGAGGCUGCGGCUCUCCAGGAGCCUAACACGGGGCCGGUGCGGCCCCUGCUGCUGGAGGGCCCCAGGCGAGGCUCCGCCUUCCUCUCGCCCCUGUGCGCCCGGAGAUGCCCACAGCACCAGUGCCUGAGCCCACCUCCUGAGCCCACCUCCUGAGACACCGCCUGAGCCCACCUCCUGAGCCCACCUCCUGAGACACCGCCUGAGCCCACCUCCUGAGCCCACCUCCUGAGACACCGCCUGAGCUCACCUUCUGAACCCACCUCCUGAGUGGAAGCCUUUCUGUGCCCUGCCCUUGCCCUUCCCUGGUGGGAGUGCCAAGACCCUCAAUGCCCAUUAAAUACCCUUGCCUGCCCCUUA